rnacentral:ncRNA from 1 species
UGUUUAGGACGACCUAAGCAGGCUCUCAAUGCGGGACGACCCGC